CCCAGAUCUUAUAUUAUUUCAUACUCUUACAACGCUUUUUAAAACUUUGGAUUUUUUUUCUAAAAAUUUCUGAUAAAUCGUCAAAUUUGGACGAAUUUUUUUGUAAAAAAAACAAGGAGAGCCUGCUAAUAUGAAUAUGUAUUAUUUAAAUUUCUUUGUAACAAUUUUUGCAAUUAAAAUUGUUAAAUUUUGUUCAUCACCGAAACAAAAACCCCCGCUGUAUGUAAAAUAUUUUUUUUAUAUAUAAAAAUUAAUAAUCUAAUUCUUGAUUCCUUCUGACAUUCCCAUUUCAAUUUUGCAGAACCUAAUUCUUCUUCUUCUUCUUUUACAAGUUAUGGAGUGGCUCAGAACUUUCUACCGAUCUCGCUUCUGUGAGUUUGAUGGACCUGUGCCAUUAAUUCAGAUAAAUGUUACUGCUGUGGAUCUGGCUAUAUCGAAUUUGGAAAUGCUCUUCCUCCUACUCGGGAAACAACUGAAAAGCUCCUUGUGCAAUUAAGGAAAAAAGUUUUCUCGACUAAUAAAGAUCAUGCUCGUGAUUCUGAAGAGGCUCUGAUUCAGCUUUUGAAUCAGGAGGACGCUCAAUCACCUAAGCGGGACGACAUCCUUUAUCUACUGUCCGUGGUGAUGAUGCGGAUGCAGAAUUGGGAAAUGUGUUCCUUCUAUUUGAAUCAGAUUCAGAAUGUACCCGAAGGUGGAAAUGUCAGGUUGUUGAGGUCUGAGGAACCACGUUCUAAGUGUUAGGCAUACUGCCCCAUCAUUUCGCAAUUACAUUGCAACUGGCAUAACAGGAGCUUCUAUUGGCAUAUAUGCCUCGACCACUGAUCCUGCCCCUCUUAGUUUGGUCAGACAUGCCACAGACGGUCUGAGGGAGAUUCAGCAGGCCCGGAUGCUAAAAGAAACGCUUGAGAAACUAAUUGAAGAAGAUGGUGCACUUGGGUUUGGGAGGGCUGUGUUUGCAGUGAUGAUAAUACUAUCAUCAUUCAGUGGCCUAUACCGUAGAUUUUUUAGCAGAAGAACCUAAAGGUACGUCCCAGCUUUGACCUUGGAGUGGCAGACACUCAUGAAGCGGGGAGUAGCGUUUUUGCAUAUUGGAGCUUGUUUUACCUGCUAUUCAAAUACUGUGCUAAUAAUGUGAAUAGGUGGAGUUUGAAUUUCUUUCAUGCAACUAUUGUUUCAUUGAAUAGAUGGCUGAAUUAGAUGGUUAAUUCUAAAGAUAACGGAUAGACUGAAAAAGCUUCAGGUGGAUUAAAGACUAAGGAAUUUGUUGCUUUGUUCUGUCUGCUAUUAUGUUAUAGUGUCAUGGCAUAUAUGUGAGUAAACAUAAGAAGCUGUUAUGGUUAUACAGGCAUCCAGGCUUCUAUUUUCUACCCUCUUGCAGCAUCUGUAACCAACAUAUCAUAUUUUUACUGGAUUUUUGACAAAGAUUCAAGGUGCCAAUCUUAAACCUACAACCAUCAUUUGGUGAUUCUUUCUGGCACACAAAGUUAUUUAGGCUCAAAAGGAUAAGUUAGUCAUUGGGAUGUUAAAGCACAAAAGUGGUACCAAUAUGUUUUAGUGAAACUUUUGGGUUAGGGAAAGGGCGACACAGGACUACCUUCGGGGACUUGAACUUGGCUCAAUAAUGACUUUCUUACAUCCGCUUGUUUGUCAUGUGAAAAUUUCUAUUAUGGCACUCAAAUGUUAAUGUAAUUUGAUUUUAGUUGGUGUAUAAAUGGUUUUUUUUUUU